ensembl:lncRNA
UAGUUGGGUCGGUCCUAAAUUGACAGGGUCGGUCAGUUAUGGCAAACAAGAAUAUUUUUAAGGAUGGCCUAAUAGUUAUUUGAAACUUGUGAAGUUUGUUAACAUAUUAACAACACAGCUAGUAAUGACAGCGUUCGGUUUUAUUGUUGUCAUCAAUUAAUACACUUCUUAAUUACAAUAAUACAUUACAUAUUUAUACAUUAUUACAUUAUGUUGUCAAUAAAUUACCUUUAUCAGUAAGUUUUGGCCACUGCCUGACAUCAUCUACCCAAUUUUCCCUUUCACCAGACAUUUUCUUUAAUGAGCAGGAUCCGCUUUCAUUGAAAUGUCAUUAGAGGGCACCGGCAAGUGUCACACCGUCACACCUCGCAGGCACGCAGUAAUGGCGGCAGGCAAGAUGGCGGCGCCCAUAGAGUUUGCGGCGGAUUUGUGUCUAAAACUUCAUUCAUCAAGCCAAGAAGUGAACCUUAGAACACCAGGCACUGGAACACAGAAAUAAAUUAGACAGCAAUUAGCAUCGAUUGUUAGUUUGUUUGUGAAUGCUUCCUUAAUUUUCCCAUGUAUAGUUGGAUUUAUGUAUGUGUAUGUAUGUAUUUUAAUGUAUGUUGAUGAGCUCACCAAGCAAAUUCCAAGCAACUAGGGCAAUAAAUAAAUAAAUGAACUAUGCAUAUAUACACAGAAAAUGUUAUACAUGUUUGAAAAUGGCCCUUAAUAUCGCAUUAGUGAGGUCACUUCAACCCACAGACUUUAAAAACAACCUACAGCAACAAAGAAAAAAAAAUAGCCCAAUUCUUGAAAACGUCACACAGCACUGAGUCAUACAGAAGUAAAUACAGAGAACAUUAAAGUAAGCGAUUAUGCAUUUAUUUAUAGUAGGGGUCACCAAACUUGGUCCUGGAGGGCUGGUGCCUUGCAGAGUUUAGCUCCAACCCUAAUUAAACACACCUGAACUAGCUAAUCAAAGUCUUGCCAGGUAUACUAAAAACUUUCAGGCAGGUGAACUGCGGCAAGUUUGAGCUAAACUCUGCAGAACACUGGUCCUCCAGUAAUGAGUGUGGUGACCCCUGAUUUAUAGUGUUAGCUGCCAUGGAAGCCAGCAAAAUUAUGCACAGGCAAUAUGAAAAAUGAAGACAAACUAGAGCAGAGUUUGAAACUUGGCCACUCUAAAAUAUUGAUAUUGUUCUCUGCCAACCAUUUCUUGACCCCUUUUGCUGUAUGUUACGAGUUAUCUAACGACCCACAACACACAUCAAAAGUGGUCCAAGCCAGAGUCCAGUCCUGAAUCCAAUUGAAAAUGUGUUAAGACAACUGAAGACCAGAUUGAUGGACAGGAAGCCUUCCAACAUCAAGGACCUGGAGAUCUUUGCAGAGGAGUGGUCCAAAAUCCCAGUGGAAAUGUGCAAAAUAACUGCUGUGAUGAAAAAUGAAGACUUUUACACAGUUUUUUUUUUUUUUGAGAAAGAGUGUGAAUAGCUGUGAACAUGGAAUGUUCUGUAGAUGAAAAAAAAAAUCUCUGACAAAAUUACUUUCUUUUGUCACCUUUUUGUGUCAUUUCCAGCCAGAUGACACCUAUUUGUCAGAUAAAAAUUCAACACAAUUAAAAAUUUGGCAAUCAAGCAUGGUAUGAGUGGCCGUUUAAGAUACAAACAAGUAAAAAUUAUUUAACAGCAAGUUUGAGAAAAGACAAUACAGAAAAGGUAAGAAGGAUUAUUUGAGAAAAGCGCAUAUUACUGCAAUUGGCAGUGAAUCAUAAUAUAACUAACAUCCCUCAGUGUCACAUUUCUGAUUCUUGUGAAAUUGGCCAAUUAUAUAUUUUGACUCACAUGUAAGUAUGGCCCAAAAUCCUCCAAUGUUAUGAUGGGUUUCAGCAUCUGUCUCUUCACAAACGGAUUGUUUCAUAGCCAGUCUGAGAAUCCGAAAUAACAACAAGCCUCCCUUUAACAGAGAAAACACAUUUACAGAAAACAUAAAUGUCACAUUCUGUCAAGCUAAACAUCACAAUUAAAAAUCAUGUUCUAAUUUAAAUUAUGACAUUUCAUGUACCUAAAUAAUCAAAAUUAUGCCUAUUAUUUAAUAGAAAAAGGAAACAAGUCGUUUUGUAAAAAAGAAGAAAAAAAGAUAAAGCCAUUUCUUGUUGUUGUGUGUAUCAUUAUAGGUCAUGACUAAGAGCGGGAAUAAAACAUUUGAAUGCAAUGGAAUACGUCUCGCGAGUGGUGUUUAAUAACUGUCACUAACGUCAACAACGUCUGUUGGUUGAAGACGGUGGUGGAAAUAGACUGAAUC